GAAUAAGAUGGAGGAAGUUCAGGCUGUCUCUCCCACUGAUCAACAAAAAAUGCUGACGUGAAUACAUAAAGCAACCAUCUGAGAUCUCUAAAAAGUAAUCACAGGAGGUUUAGGGAAGGAGGUCAAAACUGGACGUGUGAUUGAUAACAGUGGGCUUCCUUUUCCCUCCCACCCACCGUCAUUUAUCUUCUGGCUUGGUCUAUAGGGAAUCCUCUAUUCUUGUUCCCCACAGUGGGUCCAGGCAGAAAAAGCUCUAAGAGAAUCCCCUUCUUCCUCUGUGUAUGGCCAGAGAAUUGCAAAGGGAGGGCCCCUGCAUAAAGGAGACUGCAGAAAAUCACCAUCUUCUUUUGCUGUAUUUUGGUUUUAUUCUUCUGGUGGGAGAGCGGACGGGCCCUAGUCAUGAGGCAGUCCUCCAGCUGUGGCGGUACUCGUGGCAGUGGCAUUCUGAAGCCCUUUAAAACUCUGAAAGAGAACUUUCCUCUUUGACCAGAGAAACUGGAAAAAGGAGCCCCUGUACCAAAGAGUGUAGAGAGAAUAUUUAUUAUUUUUUGCUUUCUUCUUUUUGCUGCCACUUCACUCCUGAGACAGAUGUAAUUGUAGGAAAUAUGCAACCUAAUGGGGAACCAGAAAACCCAUUGUAGGCAGAAGAUUGAGAAAAGGGAUGUGGGAAACAGACUGUGGGGAAGAACAUAGAAGGGCAGGAGAUAGAGAAAGAAAUGACCUAAAUCUGUGUCUGAAGCCUGAAAUUCACUCUGAGCAUCUGGGGAACUUAGUUGAGGAAAAAUAAAGGCUUUGAGAGCUGAACUAUAGCAUAAACCGCUGCCCUUGGGUAGCACAUGUGGGGAGAGAUGGAAGAGCCCUGAAAAGUCUUGCAAAACUGAAGAUGAUACUGAAAUCACAGCCCACAGAGAGUGGGUUGGGAUUUGUGGUUAGAACCUAACAGGGUUGAUUGCCUACAACAACGACAAAAACAACAACAAAUCAAUUCUGCAGAGGACCAAAAGUCUUUCACAUGACUAAGAGUGAGAUAAUACAAAUCUCUAGGAUGUAAUUCAAAAGUAGUUAACAGGAGUUCCUAUCGUGGUGCAGUGAUUAACGAAUCCGACUAGGAACCAUGAGGUUGCGGGUUUGAUCCCUGCCCUUGCUCAGUGGGUUGACCAUCUGGCGUUGCCAUGAGCUGUGGUGUAGGUCGCAGACGUGGCUCGGAUCCUGCGUUGUUGUGGCUCUUCUGUAGCUGCCGGCCUACACCACAGCCACAGCAACGCAGGAUCCAAGUUGCGUCUGCAACCUACACCACUGCUCAUGGCAAUGCUGGAUCCUUAACCCACUGAGCAAAGCCACGGAUCGAACCCACAACCUCAUGUUUCCUAGUUGGAUUCAUUAACCACUGAGCCACGAUGGGAACUCCAAUUUUAUCAUAUAUAAAUUAAAAGAUUAAAAAACGAAUGGUUAAAACAACAAAACGUGUAUUGGAAAACAGUAACAUUACUGUUGAAGAAUAAGAAGCAUAGUUAAGGAGGCUAGUUCAACAAAUUAUUAUUUUUUCUCCUUUGGCUUCUUUGAGGAUUUUUUUCCUUUGAUUUUCUUUAGCUUGAAAAUGAUAUGCCUAGGAAUAGUGAUUUUUUUUUUUUUUUUUUUUUUGGCAUUCAUCUGGCCUAGUUUUCUCUGAGUUUGCUGAGUCUGUUAUUUGGUGUUUGACAUUAAUUUUGGGAAAUUCUCAUUGUUGCAAAUAUUUCCUCUGUUCCUUUCUUUCUUCUCCUUCUAGUAUCCCCAUUACAUGUUUGUUAGCCUUUCCUAGUUGUCCACAGUCCUUGGAUAUUCUGUUCUGCUCUUUUUUCAAAGAGAGCUUUUCAGUUUUGAAGGUUUGUCCUGAUAUAUCUUCAAGCUCAGAGAUCCUUUCCUCAGCUGUGUCCUAUCUACUAGUAAGCCUAUCAAAGGCAUUCUUCAUUUCUGUUACAUUGUGGGAGGUGCUUUUUUUUUUUUUUUUUUUUUAUCUCUAGCAUUUUUUUGAGGGAGGUUCUUUCUUAGGAUUUCCAUCUCUACUUAUAUUGCCAUCUGUUUUUACAUGCUGUCUACUUUGUCCACUAGAACUAAUAGCAUAUUAAUCAUAACUGUUUGAAACUCCUGGUUUGAUAAUUCCAACAUCUAUCUAUGCUGUGUAUGGUUCUGAUGCUUACUUUGUCUCUUCAAACUGUGCUUUUUUGCCUUUUGGUACAUUUUUAAGUUUUUUUCUUGAUAGUUGGACGUAGUGUACUGGGUAAAAGAAACUGCUGUAAAUAGGACUUUAGUACUGUGGUAGUGAGGUGUGGGGCGGGGGAAGGGAAGCAGUCUAUAGUCCUAUCAUUUGGUCUUAGUCUUUAGUGAACCUGGGCCUCAGGACUGUGAACUUUGCAGGUUUUUUUCAGUUUUCUUCACCCCCUUAGGUGGGAUAGGAUGACUAAAGUGGGCUGGAGUUGGGUUAUUCCAGGCCAAUUAGGCCCUUAGUAUCCCAGCAGGUUAGGAUGUGGUUAAUGAAUUUUCCCUGAGGGCAGGUCUUGUUAAGAGCAGAGUGCUCUGGCUUAUUUCAAAAUGGUUCCUUUCCUCCCCCUCCUCCUGCUUGGAAGCACAAGGGGUUUUUCCUCUGAUGUUUACUGUGGAACCUAUUUAUGCUCUUGGAGGUAAAACUAAUGAAAAUGUGAGGGUCCCCUUAUGACUGGUACUCCUGGGGUUCUUAACUCUCAGACUUGUCCACACUGAGCAUCCUGCAAGUCAGUCAGUUACAGUUGAGGUUUUUCUACUCUGGCACUGGUUCCCAUGGUUUUGACUCAUGAGUCUCUGCUGAGGUAAGUUGUGACUGAGUGUAUUCCCUAGUCUCUUUCUCCAGCCUUGGGGGCAGUGGUUUGCCUUGGGUCCUCACCUCUCUUGGGUCCAAGAAGAGUUGUUUUUCAGUUUGUUCAGCUUUUUAAUUGUUAGGUUAGCGUGGCGAAUUAAGUCCCCCAGAUUCUUUUAAGAGAAUUGAAUUCUUGCAGUCAAUAUUUUUAUAUAAUGUUGAAGUAUUCAGUUCCUUUUAACUAAGUUGCUAAUUUUUAUUUUAAAGAGACGAUUAGUAACAUGGAAUGUUUUUGAAAUGAGAGUAAUAAUCCUUAUUAUCCUUAGCAAAGCACAAGAAAGAAGUUGAAAAGCAUUUACCAAAAAUGAAUAUCCAGAACAGAAUUUUGAAUGUGAUGAUAUUUAAUGGUAUUAUAAUGAAGUCUUUGUUCUUUCCACAUAAGCUUUGUAAGUUUACAUGUCAAUGUAAAAUACUUAUGUUUUGUAUUUUCUAUCAGUGGUAGGUAUAUUUAGUGUUCAUUUUGUGAUGUGUGCUCUUUCUUUUUUCUUUUUUAAUUCUGUAUUCAAGUUAGGAAGAGGAAUUAAACCAAAGUGCUUUCUUAUAUGUGUGUUUUAAGUUACGGUUUCUUGUUCGUUGCUCAGACUUGUGAUACUGGGUAGAGGUUGAACUCAAUGAAACUGAAAACCAGGUGAAUUAGGUGGAGAACUACAGACUCACAUAAGAUUCCCAGUUAGUGACCUUUUAGCUCCAGGUCUUUUAGCUCCGACAGCUGUCUUAAAGCACUGUUUAUCUUGCUUUUGGAUAGUAUUGGUCCUGCUGUCUUUAGUUUUGGUUUGCAUGGAUUUGUGAAAAGACUAUUUUGGCAGUUAAGAGUUCGUGGGUUUUUUUUGUGGUUUUUUUUGUUGUUGUUGUUGUUUUUUAACCAUUGCAUUAUAUUUUCACCUAAAUGUUAAUAGAAGAAAACACUUGAAAAGAAAGUCAAGUUAUAUACAGGUAUACAGUCUUUUCUAUAGUUCUCUUAAACAUGGUUUAUUACUAAAGCACAAAUGUAAACUAACAUUUGAUUUUUUGUUUUCUUGGCCACAUCUACAACCUGUGAAAAUUCCCGGGCCUGGGAUUGAACCCUAGCUGCAGUGACAGUGGUAAAUCCUUAAUCACUAGUCCACCAGGGAACUUCUUAAAUUAACAUUUUAAAUAAAGCAUAUUUACCAAAUGUGGUAAGACCAGUUGCUCCCAAAGAAUUAUGGUAAAACCAUAUUAAGGUUAUAUUCCUUUUUCUGGUGCUACUUGGACUGUGCAACAGUAUGGGGAAGGAAACACCUGGUUUUUGCAGCCUAGGACCGCCCUUUCUGUCACUACCACUGCCAAAGAAAUGAAAAGUUAAGAUGUUUCCUUACCUCGCAGAAUGCUACAAAGCAGAUGGUAGUAGCUAGCCGUACCAUGCCAAAAGGUAAUGAAAGAUUCAAAAGCAGGGAAACCGUUGUUGCAAACAAACUCUGUGCCCUUUCCCAUUACUUUCACUUUACUUACUCGGAACCUACUCAUUCCUCAGGAGAGACCCAUCUCAAUUGUUACCUCCUCUGUGAAGCAGGCUUUGCUGUCCUCAGCUGGAAGUCAUUUUUCCUUUUUCUGCAGUAUCACAGCACAUACUCUCUAAAAGCCUUAGUAUUUCCUGCAUUUACAUUUGUUAUUUAGUUAUUUGCCUUAUGUUUCCUGCUAGAUUUUACGUUUUCUUUAAGGACAGUUUUUGCUUUGCAUUCUGGGUAACACUUGGUACAUAAUUCCAAUUUAUGUUCAAUGAGUUAAUGAAGACAGAUCGACAAACUGAGAAAACUAAAAACGAAAGUCCUCUCUUGUAUUUAUGUUUGUUUAAGUUUCAGUUUCUCGUUAACUGCUUGGAGUUGUGAUAUUAGGUGGAGGGCUGUUCAAUAUAGUCUGUAAUAAUCACAUAUUCCUGUUAUAAUAUAAUGAUUAAAAUGGUAGCACCAGAGUACCCCUUGUGGCGCAGCAGAAGCAAAUCCAACUAGGAACCAUGAGAUUGCGGGUUCGAUCUCUGGCCUUGCUUAGUGGGUUAAGGAUCUGGCAUUGCCAUGAGCUGUGAUGUAGGCUGCAGAUGCGGCUCGGAUCUGGUGUUGCUGUGGCUCUGGCGUAGGCUGGCAGCAAUAGCUCUGAUUAGAAUCCCCCAGCCUGGGAACCACCAUAUGCCACCGGUGCGGCCCUAAAAGGACAAAGACAAAAAAAAAAAAAAAAAAAA
ensembl:lncRNA